GAUGAACGCUGGCGGCGUGCUUAACACAUGCAAGUCGAACGAAGCAUUUGCGACAGAUUUUUUCGGAAUGAAGUUGCUUAUGACUGAGUGGCGGACGGGUGAGUAACGCGUGGGUAACCUGCCUUGUACUGGGGGAUAGCAGCUGGAAACGGCUGGUAAUACCGCAUAAGCGCACAAUGUUGCAUGACAUGGUGUGAAAAACUCCGGUGGUAUAAGAUGGACCCGCGUCUGAUUAGCUAGUUAGUGAGAUAACAGCCCACCAAGGCGACGAUCAGUAGCCGACCUGAGAGGGUGACCGGCCACAUUGGGACUGAGACACGGCCCAGACUCCUACGGGAGGCAGCAGUGGGGAAUAUUGCACAAUGGAGGAAACUCUGAUGCAGCGACGCCGCGUGAGUGAAGAAGUAAUUCGUUAUGUAAAGCUCUAUCAGCAGGGAAGAUAGUGACGGUACCUGACGAAGAAGCUCCGGCUAAAUACGUG
rnacentral:rRNA from 1 species